rnacentral:rRNA from 1 species
CUACGUAGGUGGCAAGCGUUGUCCGGAUUUACUGGGUGUAAAGGGGGCGCAGGCGGGAAGCUAAGUUGGAUGUGAAAUACCGGGGCUCAACUCCGGAGCUGCAUCCAAAACUGGUUUUCUUGAGUGGGGUAGAGGCAAGCGGAAUUCCGAGGGUAGCGGUGAAAUGCGUAGAUAUUCGGAGGAACACCAGUGGCGAAGGCGGCUUGCUGGGCUCUAACUGACGCUGAGGCCCGAAAGCGUGGGGAGCAAAUAGGAUUAGAUACCCUGGUAGUCCACGCCGUAAACGAUGAUUACUAGGUGUGGGGGGUCUGACCCCUUCCGUGCCGCAGUUAACGCAAUAAGUAAUCCACCUGGGGAGUACGGCCGCAAGGCUGAAACUCAAAGGAAUUGGCGGGG